rnacentral:rRNA from 1 species
AGUGGGGAAUUUUGGACAAUGGGCGCAAGCCUGAUCCAGCCAUGCCGCGUGUCUGAAGAAGGCCUUCGGGUUGUAAAGGACUUUUGUCCGGGAGCAAAUCCUAGUGGUUAAUAACCGCUGGGUCUGAGAGUACCGGAAGAAUAAGCACCGGCUAACUACGUGCCAGCAGCCGCGGUAAUACGUAGGGUGCAAGCGUUAAUCGGAAUUACUGGGCGUAAAGCGUGCGCAGGCGGUUGUGCAAGUCUGAUGUGAAAGCCCCGGGCUUAACCUGGGAACGGCAUUGGAGACUGCACGACUAGAGUGCGUCAGAGGGGGGUAGAAUUCCGCGUGUAGCAGUGAAAUGCGUAGAGAUGCGGAGGAAUACCGAUGGCGAAGGCAGCCCCCUGGGAUGGCACUGACGCUCAUGCACGAAAGCGUGGGGAGCAAACAGGAUUAGAUACCCUGGUAGUCCACGCCCUAAACGAUGUCAACUAGCUGUUGGGGGUUUGAAUCCUUGGUAACGUAGCUAACGCGAGAAGUUGACCGCCUGGGGAGUACGG